rnacentral:misc_RNA from 1 species
GAUGAAGAACGCAGCGAAAUGCGAUAACUAAUGUGAAUUGCAGAAUUCAGUGAAUCAUCGAGUCUUUGAACGCACAUUGCGCCCCCUGGUAUUCCGGGGGGCAUGCCUGUCCGAGCGUCAUUGCUGCCCUCAAGCACGGCUUGUGUGUUGGGCUCCGUCCCCCCGGGGACGGGUCCGAAAGGCAGCGGCGGCACCGAGUCCGGUCCUCGAGCGUAUGGGGCUUUGUCACCCGCUCUGUAGGCCCGGCCGGCGCCAGCCGACAACCAAUCAUCCUUUUUUCAGGUUGACCUCGGAUCAGGUAGGGAUACCCGCUGAACUUAAGCAUAUCAAUAAGCGGAGG